CGGAUCUAGCAGCAGUUGAACAUUUUGUCCUAAAGAAAGUAAAACCGAAAGCUAUCCAGUUGUGGCUGACUGACGUCAGGCACUGUGGAAGCCUUAGAAAGAAAAAUAUUUAGGGAAAGAAUUCUUUAUGAAAACACAUAGGAUACUUACCUCCACUCAUUGAGUAGAAGACAACAGAGACAGAUACCAGUGGAAAGGUCUUACCAAAUGAACAUAAUUCAGCUCAAACAAUCCAGUGUGUUGCUGAAGGGACUCAACUAAGAAAAAUCUACCUGCUAGUGAAGCUGGAAGGAAUGAUGUGAAUCAUGCCCAGUCUACUGGUGGAGUCUAAAUUUCUCAAUGUGGCCUAAGAACCACCCUCUCUCCUCCCCCCAAAAAUCUAUCUUCUCUGGCCAUACUGAACAAAUUGCAGUUCUCUGGGACUAUGUCACUACCUCAGAGAACCAUAAAAGAAUGCCUGUUUGGACACUGUCCACACAAACAAUAUUCCUAUCAGUGACUAGCAUAAUUACAGAAAAGGGAGCCUGGAGAUCCAAAUAUGAGCAUGGUACACAAGGAGGAAUGAGCAAGAAAGGAACUGUGAGUGGUGACGAAGCCCAGGAAAGGAAGAGAUGCUGCUGAACCAGCGUGGAUCCAGCUCUAAUGGAAGGCAAAGGGGAUCUCAAGUCUCUGUACGAACACCAAGCAAGCUGUGGUCUCAAGUCAUUACAGUCCUAGAAUGGCUUCAUAUGCUGCACUACGUAUUCGCUAGAUAUUUCUCAUCCCACCUCACAAGAGCAGCCAAAGAGGAUUUCUACAGAGGAGGAACACUGUGCCGGCCUGACACCCUCCUCCCACAGUUUCAGCACAGAUGUAGCUCAUCACACUGUCCUCCCUGAGCACAACUUCUCAGCUGGCUCUGGACUCCACUGGCCCAUCUCUACUGCUUACCCCCCCUCCACCGCCCCGGUUUUUGAAUUUGCCAUUUUCUCUUUCCUAAUGCCUCCAUUGGUCUUAUUUCUAUUUCUUCUUCAAGUCCACCCUCUGUCUCCCGUGUUUUCAAUUUAAUAACCUUAUGCAUUUCAAGUUUUCAGCAUGGUACUUCCAGUUCCGAAAUCUAAUGAAGAAAAAUAAAUAUGGUAUGAUUCAGAUUUAUGGAAUGUAUUGCAUAGGGAACCCACCUGCAAAGCUUACUUGUUAUCCCUCCCAGACAGGGUCACUGAUUUCCUCCUUCCCCCACCCCCCACCUCU